AACGAACGCUGGCGGCAGGCUUAACACAUGCAAGUCGAACGCAUCCUUCGGGGUGAGUGGCAGACGGGUGAGUAACGCGUGGGAACAUGCCCUUCAGUUCGGAAUAACCCAGGGAAACUUGGGCUAAUACCGGAUACGUGCGAGAGCAGAAAGAUUUAUCGCUGAAGGAGUGGCCCGCGCCUGAUUAGCUAGUUGGGGAGGUAAAGGCUCACCAAGGCGACGAUCAGUAGCUGGUCUGAGAGGAUGAUCAGCCACCCUGGGACUGAGACACGGCCCAGACUCCUACGGGAGGCAGCAGUGAGGAAUAUUGGACAAUGGGCGCAAGCCUGGUCCAGCCAUGCCGCGUGAGUGAUGAAGGCCUUAGGGUUGUAAAGCUCUUUCGGCGGGGACGAUAAUGACGGUACCCGCAGAAGAAGCCCCGGCUAACUUCGUGCCAGCCGCCGCGGUAA
rnacentral:rRNA from 1 species